rnacentral:lncRNA from 1 species
CAUUUCCGUAUCCUCUUCUAGACCGUAAUCCAGCUCUCUUCUUUUUUCCUCUACUUUUUCUUUUCCUUAUUUUUUGUUCGAUUUACCGGAAGAGAGACUGGGCAAAGCCUCGUCUGGUUCCGAUAUGGAGUAUUUCAUUCCAGAAGGUGAGUUUUAAGUUUUUUUAAAAUCUUUUUUCCUAUUUGAAUCCACUUCUUUAAUAUAAAAAAUCCUCUUUUUUUUUAUUCGGUUGGUUGCAGGAUCUAUAGAUCGGAGAGCAGGAAUCUGAGUGGCAGAGCCAAGAUUUCUUCCCAUUUCUAGCUAUUUUUGAUACAUCAAAUUACAUACAUCUGAUUAUUUUCUUUUUGGCAGUGCUUUCGCACGCAUUACUGUUGAUGUUCAUCUUAGGCGAUGAUUUCAUUCUUACAUUCUGUUCCUUUUUAUGUAUUUCAAUCGAUUGGCUUCGAUGAUUUCAUCUCUAAUCGGUGCUAUUGCUGUUUGUUAAAAUAUCUACAAAAGAAAGAAGAAAGCAAAAGAGAGGUAGAGAGGGGAAG